rnacentral:lncRNA from 1 species
GGAGAGGAUCGUGGUCCAAUUAUCUGAACACCAUUGCCACUUGCUUCUUAUCUCUCCUUUGGUGGUCUUCUACUACCAAGCUUUUCAACUCACAAAGUAAUUGCUCUACUAAUAUCUAAUAAAGUACCCAAAAUACCCCAAAAUAAUGGAUCAUUAAUCAUCUAUCAUUGUAAUCUUUUCAAUGAGUUUUAACGAAACACUUCCAGUAUUGUUUAUUUUUAACAAAAAAAUUAUAUUUUUACUUUUUUAACUUUAUUUUGGUGUCCAAAAUUUUGGACACCAAAAUAAAGUUAAAAAAGUAAAAAUAUAAUUUUUUUUGUCAUUUUUCAUUUUUGUCAUUUUUUUGUCAUUUUUCAUUUUUAUUUUUGUCAUUUUUUUGUCAUUUUACAUUGAUGACUAUUUACUAUACAUUUCUUUGUCAUUUUUUAUUAAAAUUAAAUUUUUUUUUAACUUUUCAUUAGUUUUCCUAUCUUUUUAGUGUUACAUCAAUGUGAUGGAAAUUGGGGUCGGAUAUUAAGACAGGAUAAAAAACCGACGUCGUGACACUGAAGUUUAUAGUGCGUGUGAAAGAUAUGAGCUACAGAAGUAAGAAUACUUUGGAAUUAUGAUCUACUUUGACGAAGGGUUCAGUGAAUAUAUAAAGAUGAAAUACCGUUUUAGGAAAGUUGCAACUUCCCCCAAGACAUAAUCAUUCAUAUAUUUUGAAUUAAUUAAUUAAUUAACUAAAUAAAUAAAUAUAUCAUUUACUUUAAUAAUUAAUUAACUUAUUUUCCCUUUGGUUAUGUGUCUAUGGAUACACCAGUGUUAAGUGUACAUUCACAUAUAAUUACACACAUUGUAAAAAUUAUUUUAUCAUAAUCAUAUUCGAAUUAAAUCUUAGAUUUGCGUCUAAAACUACUUGGUUUCAACUUUUGCUAGAAUUAUUAUCUUUCUUACAUGAAUUCUAUAUACUAAGUUCAAACCCAAAGCAUUAACCUUAAACUUGAAUCGCAGAUUUUAUUUGUAUUGCAAAUGUAAUUUGGAUAAGAAAUGCAACUAAGUAAAAAUCAAGAGGGUAAUAGAUCCAAAAAAAUGUCCGAUAGUUUCUCAAAUCAUGCACGAACAUCACCUAUGUGUAAAGCAAGAUGAGUAAGAUAAGUAACACUUUUAACGAGUCGAGUGUAACCAAAUAUUACUCUACUCGAAUUUAACUUUUUUUAGUACAAAUUGAUUUGGCUUUCUUCUUGUACGAGCAUAUGCUGUUCAAUUCUCCCAAAGACAUGGUAUAAAGUUAUUUUAAUCAUCAUCAAUUAAAUUAUUUUAAGUACACUUUUGGUUCCUACAAACAAAGAAGUACCCUUUUGGUUUUUGCUUUUGUCUACACCCCUUUUAGGGUUUUUUUUUUCACCACAGACCAGCUAAUGGCUUCAUAACGGUAAUUCACUAUUUUUAGACUCAAAAAGCUCACAGACAUUUAACUUCUCCUAACCACAAUCAUAUGAUUCAUUAACGCUCGCAAUUGAACCUCGAACGUGCUAUGUGAAAUAUAGAUCUAAAAUUCGUCCUCAACUAGUCUACACUCCGUGAUUGUUACUUUUUAGUUAUUUUGAUUUGCAACAUUAUUUUUUAAUAGCACAUUAAUUAUUUGAGAUAACCAUCUAAAUAAACUAAUAUUUGGUUGAGAUAGCUAUCUAAUUAUUUAAUAUUUGGUGAAGUGUAACGUACGCAGAGUUCCAAAAAUUAACUUAAUUAAGUAUAUGCAUCUGUUCUGUCAAAUUUAAAUUUUGGACACCAAAAUACUCGUUUUUAUGGGGAACAUUUUGUUUGUUUGUUUUUUUUUUUUUUUAAUUCAAUUUUCUCAAAACCAUCAGGGUAAAAUUGUAACACCACCCCAAAAUGGUUAGGGGACAAACAAAUUAAACUCCUAAACAAAAUUAAGCAAAUCUAGCCACCCACUAAUCACAUCCAAAUCGUUACAAUCUAUUUACACAAUUACCCAUCUUAUUUCCCAAACUACCCCUACUCCGGAAUUGCACUCAACUCCGCCGCAAACCGUCCAUUUCCACCACUAUCCCUCCGCCUCCUCGACCCCCCACUGGCCACCACUCUCCGGCGAUCCUUCACCUCCACGCCGGAAAAUAUCAGUGGAGACACCGAAUUCCGGCGACAUCCACAUUUUUCGCCGCCACUCUUCAUAAGCGCGGAGCUGGCUUUUACGGCCAAUGCGGCCAUCUCCUCCGCUUGCAGCGGGUGCUUGAGCCAGCUGAGCGGCAAGGCAAAGUAGAGCUGUCCCGGCUGGAGCACCUCGUUAUCACUGACGGCCUGAAGGACGUCGUCGAAGUCCAUCUCGUCGGAGUUGCAGAUGAAGCAAGUGGGGUUCUUUUGGAGCACGUAGGAAACCUUUACCGGGUACGGGAAUUCUUGUAAAUUUCCGUCCUGUAGAAUCAGCUUGGCGGUGGCCACUUGGGUCGACCCGGACGAGCUGCAAAUACCCAUUUGGGUCGAAAUCGGAUCGUUGGAAAAUGGCUGAGAAUUUGAGGUGUGUCUUUUUAGAGAUAGAAAUUAGAGAGAGGGCAUGAGAUAUUUGGUGGAGGAGGGAGAAGCACGGAGGGUGUAGAGAAGAAAGAGAGUCAAUAUAUAGAGAGAAAAUGAGGUGGUGGGGCCUCGUAAUUUGAACCUGGAUACCACGUAGGAUAUUUGUCGUUUAGCUAAGCAUUGUUUUUUUUUUUAUCAGUGGGCUUUGGCCACAGCCAGGCUGUAAGUUGGUGGUGGUGACAGGUUGUAAUCGAUUUUCUGAGAGUUUUUUUUUUAAUUUUUUUUUUUUUUUGUCAAAUAUUUUCUGGGAGUUUAGAAUUGGGAUUAACUUGCGGUUAAAGCACCUGCCGCCACUGACUCGGGCUUUUAGUCUUGGCUUUUGGGGUAAUUUACGAGGAGGAGAAUUUUUUUUUAACAUAUAUGACUUACUGGUUAAUUUCAAAUCUUAAAUCGACCAUUGUUAUUCGAAGUUGAGGAGGUAAUUUUGUGAUUUGUGUGCUUGGCAAGGAUUAUGCAGAAGAGGUUUGACGUUUGUUGGAGGUAACUCAUAACAAGAUUUUUUGCAUGUGAUUGCAAGCUAUGAAUGAAUGAUGUGUUCUUUCUUUCGUGGGGUCUUUUCAGCGCUUUGAGGGAUUCACAAUCAUGUUUUCUUGUCAUUGCAAACUCUUCGGCGAUGGUAUGAUAGUUACCUUGUGUGUCUUGACAGUGUUAUGUUUGAUGACUCAUAGGGCUUAGGCCUUGUGAGUUUAUCUUUCAUGUGAUCGAGGAAUCAUACAUUGAAGAGUUUAUUUUGUACUGUGUUGUGAUUUUGUUGUCUGUUCGCUUAGCAAAAGACUAUAGGAACAUCUUCGAGAUGUCUCAUACCAAGGCUUCUUGCCGAAUAAGCGUUGUCUUUUACAAGUUCAUCAUCAACACAUGGUGUAAGGUUUUAUCUUCGUAAGAGUUACCUUUCCGUUUGGUUAGAUGGGUUUAUGUGGAGUAAGUUUUAAUUUUCUUUCUGUUGCGUUUAUAAACAUAAAAUUGUAUUAAGAAAGUGUGAUGUUCUUUGUUUUAUUUGAUCAAUGAAAGACUUAUCACUUCUAAAAAAAAGAAAGGAAUUGGGGUCCUUAGUUAAAUUGCCCUCUUGGUUGUAUAAAAUUACAAGGGUAGGGACUAGGGUUGGUCAUGAGAUUAGCACAGUUUCUAUAAGUAGAGAGUGAUGUCAAAAGGAUGCUUGUAAAAGGGGGAAGAACUGCUAAACUUGGCAAGCCAUUUCAUGGAUAAUGGGAUUAUGGGAAUGGGAGACCCACCUAAGCAUGAUCAUGAUCAUGAUGGUACUACUAUUUUAUAUCAACCCCUUUUUCUGGGGGGUGCUAAUAUUAAUAUAUGGUUCCAAUUAUAUUUUCCACUUCCCCCUUGUGUUUGUUGUGGGAGAUUUAUUUACUAUUUAUUUUGUUUGUUUUCUGAAUAUAAUGGGUCCACCAAUUGAUUUUGUAACUAAUUAAUUAGUAUUUAAUCUCAAUUUUUAUCAUGAUUAAUCAUGAAACAGAUAGAAGUUUGCUUUUUAAAGAAUAAAAUGUAGAGAGUAUCAUGGAUUUGAUUUGCUAUGGAAUUAAAACCAGAACACAGAAAUGUGAAAACCAUUAACCAUUGGAAGAAGGCAUAUAUAAAAAAAGAAUGUUUAAAAGCAAAUCCUGGAAGCCACGCAGUACUACUAUCUGGUGCUAUUCAUCUUCACUUGUAAGUGAGAGAUCUUAGGUUCGAAUCUUGUGAAUGAUGAAUUCGAUACCAAAUUAGGUUGCCUAUUGUGUGGUUUAGCCGAACUCUCCCUCCCCUAGUAUGAAAUAUAUCGGUGUACCAAAAAACAAAGAAAAAAAAAAGCAAAUCCUGGAAUAAUUUGGACUUACCAAAGAUGUUAGGAACUUAACCUUCCUUAGCCUUGAAGGUUUUGGUCACUUAUGCUUAAACUUUAGGGGUCUUUUAGAUGUUAGAUUAGACUUUAAGAGGUAUACGGCCCUAUAUAUGCUAAUGUGCUACCUUUGGAUGGAUUCCACUAGGUAAAAGGAACUCUGAGUACUUUUUUAAAUGGAAUAAAAAGUCACAAAAUGCUUCUCCUUACAAAGUUACCCCUGGAAAGAACACAGAAAAGCUGAAAAAUAGCAUGCAGAUAUUUGUGAAGAUAAGUAUUAGAGCGAAGAUAAGAACUACGUUUUUUUUUUCCUUUUCAUUUCUGACAUAUCUUGCGUUUACUAAUAUACUAAUAUGAAAAUAACAAAUAUUUAAUACGACAAAGAAUAUUUUUCUUCAUUUAUAAUAAAAUUUUAUAUCCGCCUAAUUCUAUAAAUAAUAUGUUUGGCUCAUUAACCCUAGAAACGCAUACAUAAAACCAAAAGUAAGAAGAGUCCGAAUUUUUUAUUCUAAUUGCGACCCCCAAAAAACCAAACGAAAUCUGUCACAUACAAUUCACAUUGCUAAAACUCCAAUUGUUGGACACAGAUUUUUCACAUGCAUGAAAGGGUUCAUGUCACUCAAGCAUCUCCACUCCCCAGACAAAAUCUGCAGGUGAAUUGUAAUUUAUGGGGGACAAGGAUACUUUCGAGAUUCUUUUUGUAGGGAUUCGAUGAUCAAUUAAUUUUGUUCGUUUAUUUUAUAUUAUACGAUCAAUUUUUAUUAGGUAUUAAUUAUAUUUAAUUUUAAAUUAAAAUUAUUUUGUGGGGAUUCGAUGAUCAAUUAAUUUUGUUCGUUUAUUUUAUAUCAUAUGGUUAAUUUUUAUUAGGUAUUAAUUAUAUUUAAUUUUAUAUUAAAAUUUUUAAAUAAUUUCUAAUUAUAUGUUGUACGAUAAACAAAUACUAUUAAUUGAUCAUUCAAAUCUCUCACAAAGAAUAUCAGAAGGGAUCCUAUUCCAUUUAGGGGGAGAGAGAUGGGGUAAAUUUCAGAGACAACAAAAUGUGAAUAAUUGGGACCAGAAGAGAGUGGGUGGCUGAUGAACUUGCAACGUUUUCUUUGCACUUUUGGCACUUUGCAGGCACAUUGUUCAAAAUUUGGCCCAACUCCAAGGGCAGGGAAAAUUCCAACGAACAAAUAAGAAGAAAAAUAUAAAAUUGGAAUGCAUGAAUGAAGAGAAAUGGAAACGUGGCAGGGUGCGGGAGGAGGUGGUGCGUCGCUACAGUGCACGAGAGAAGGCACGUGGAAAAGAGUAGCCAUGAAAACUGCAACAAGCAAGCUAUAAUUAAGGAUGGAAAAAAAUUCUCAAAAAUUCCGAACCAAAUUGAAAAAAUAUCGAUCCCAAACCGAUUUUCCUAAAAUUUUCGGGAUGCUAUCCUGAAAAAAUACCGAAAUUUCGGUACAAAAAUCGGGAUUGUCUUCCCAAUAAUGAAAAAAUCAUGUUACUUUAUUUUUCAUCCCUGCAACAUAAAGAUAUGAAUGAUUAUGAUAUGUGUUAUGUGUUAUUCUAUUUCAUUGAUAGGAAUCACUUUUAUUGGAAGUAACACAAACACCAGUGUCAAAGUUGUUGAAGAAAGUAAAGAACAUAAACACCAUAAGUGUAAUGAGUAUUUGACAAAAUCACAAAAAGGUAUGUAACUUUUGUAAUAGGUUUGCCUUCUAGUGUAUUCUUAAAUGGUAAAACAACUCCGUUCUAUAGGUUAUAAACUUAUAAAUGCAUCUCAAUACCAAAAAAAAAGAUAUCAUAUAAAACUUAUCCGCGGUUGCACUGGUGGUUGUUUAAGAGUUUAAUGUUGUCUACCGAUAUCGUUUGAUCAAUUCAUGCAUUAUUCCUUCUACCUCCUCAACUUCAUGCCAUGUAACUCAUCGGGAGUAUGAAGUUGAAACUAGUAAUGGAAGAACAAUCACAAAACGAAGGAAAACAAGAAGCACAGUAAUGUUUGAAGUAUGUACCUGAUUAUUUCAGUGAAAAUAUAACAGCUAUGGGAAUUGGGAAUACAGAAUCACCAAAAGCCCAAAAAUAUUUCGGGAUUCCCGAUUGUUCCGAAAUACCGAAACUAUUUUGGGAUUUCCGAAAUUUUGGUUUGAGAUCGAUCUUGAAAUUAAGAAUACCGAAAAUUUCAGUUUGGGAAUUGUCUCUAAGAUUUUAGUUCGGUAUCCCAUACCGAACCACCCCUAGCUAUAACUAAUAAGUAGAUAAUAUAAUGACGUUAAAAUGGUACAUACAAUAUAUAUAUGUUAUUGCAAGGUAUUGAAUCAAGUAUCCGACAAGACAAGCGAUGGCGUAAGCUGACGUGGGUUUGCUGGUUUGAUCCCCGACUGCGCCUGCAAUCUGCAUGCUCACCCAUGCAUCCCGGCGCAAUGCAGCCCUCCUCUCUUUUAACUUAUUUAAUCGCUUCCAAAGUCCGCCGCCCUUUCCUGCUUCCCCGGCGACUCUUAUCAUCCUGCAAUCCACAAACCUCCUCUCUUUUAACUACAAUUCUUGUAUAUGUUUAUUAGUGUUGUUGUGCCACUAUCACUUAAUUACUAUCACUACGUAUGUAUGAUAACUAGGAUGUUGUCUUGUAUUCAUUGUCUUUCUUCUUACGUUGUCGGACUAUGAAUCUAAAUUAUAUAUGCAUCAUAUUAAAGUUAGAUAAUUUAACAACAUAACAUGUUAAAUUCAACAACAAUAUGUCAUCAAUAUCCCUUUUAUUGAAUCUAAAAUAUUCAUUGAGUGGACAUUUAUUUGAAUGUGUAUAUCCAUAUAAAUACUACGACAAUACAAUAUUAUCAUUCAUUGAAUUGGUGAAUCUAAAUUGUUCAUAAGUUUGAAGAUUAUUUGAAUAGUUUGCAUGGAAGUAAAUAAUUCAGAUUUACAUACAUAAUUUAACAGCAUAGCAUGUCAAAUCCUGCAUCAACAUACAUUAUCAUCAAUUAAGCAUGUUAUAUGAAUCCAUUGGCAUUGAAUUUCAUGGACAUUGUUACAACUUACAUCAAUACUUUGACUAGAGGAAUGUAAUUGUAAAAAAUUUCACAUUUUGGAUUUUUAGAGGGUUAAACUUCAAAGUGUGGUUGGAGGAGAGAUUUGAGUUUUUUAAUUUGCUUGUAUGACAAAUGAUAUAAACACAUCCAAAUCCACACUUAAUUUCAACACAUUCUUAAACAAAAGACAAGAAAACAGGAAAUCCAGGAUUUCUUCCAUUUUGGCAUGCAUGCUCAUGUUCUAUUGGAAGAGAGAGAGAGAGAGAGAGAAUGAUCACCAAUUAUGGAUCAUGCACCUACUGGCAAAUAAAUGAAAUAAUAUAUUGAUUUUUUAGUCAAAAUAGUAUCUGAGAUUGAUGUAAUUCUUCAGUUUAGUCCUUAAUGAUGAAAAUCGAUUGAAGUGGGUCAUGUGUUUGUUCAUCGUAAAUUAUUUUAGUAUUUUGUUAAAUUUUCUAUUAGUACGAUGACGUGGGACAUGAGUAGUCUCAAGGACCAUUAAGUAUGAAACUGUCAGCAAAGGGCUCAAACCCUGACAAUACCACACAGGCAAUGGAGUUCGUGAAUUGUGAUGGUCUUUGUUAAUUGUUUUUUAUACAUGUUAAUGUCUUACAUUUUAGAAAAAAAGAGCUACCCACUUGGCCCCCUUGUAUGCUUAAUUAAAUUUAAUAAACCCAAAACCGCUAAAACCCCAUAGUUUGUCAGAAAGAUUACUAACUAAUUGUUUAGGUUUUGAUUAUAAUUAUUAUAAUUAUCAACCUUACUUUAUGGGCCUUAAUUAUUAAAAUGUCCCACAUCAAUUCCCUAACCCUUCUUUCCUUGAAGCUUCUUAGUGUUCUUCUGCACCUCUCCCAGUCGCCCACCAAAAACAGUCGUGCAUGUAUCCCUCUUAAAAUAAGUGCUUCAAUCAUGCACUUUUUGACCCCAAAAAAUAUGUCUAACACCCAAUGCCUUUGUGUUUUUUAAUCAUUUAGUUAAUUUUUUAAAAGAAACAAUAUUUUGUGUUUUUAAUCAUUUGUCAUUAAAAAACUUAAUUAUUUUGACAAAUGACCUUUUUCUGUUCCUUUCUCACCACCAUCUCCCUUUCAAAUCUUUGCUGGCCUUUUUGUCUGUUUAUGAGUUCAUGUUGGAAACAUAUGUUGUUUUGGGCUCUGCUUUCAUUUGGGCUAAGGCCUAGAUGUAUAUAUAAAUACAAGUACUCUUUACGUAAGACGUCCGUUCUUUAUUAAAGAAAAAAUACGGUUACGGUGUUACUGACACAUUACCGACUCCCCGUUCUCUAACCUGUGCUUCAUAGCCGGACUAUAUGUAAAGAAAGAAUAUAUUCAGAUUCUUUGUAUUUCGAUAAAGAACGGACCUCCGUUCGUUCAACAUAUAAAAGAAAGAAUAUAUUCAGAUUCGGGAUCAAUUUUCUAAUAAGAAAUUAUUAUUUUGAAUGAGUUAUGAGAUUUGCAUUCUUUUAUUUCUGGUUUGGACUUUAUUUUCUUCUGUUCGGUAAAUUAAUUGAAUUUUGAGCAGAGAUGUUGGCAACACAAACAAUGAACCCCACCAACCGGAUAAAAGCAAAUCCUACUCAAUUAUGUGUGGAUUAUGAAUUCAGACAAAACCCUGGAAAAGAAUCCGAUCUAACUAAUACUUAAACCCUAGUUGUUAGAUUUGAACAUUUUUAAAGGUUGGACAACAUAUCGCUUUAGCAUUAUUUUUAUCAGUGCAGAUUGCAGAAAGUUGAUAAAAAAAAAAGUAGGGUAACGUCAUUACCAUGAAAGUUCUUGAUGCAGAGCACUCUAUCCAUGCAUGGCUGUCAGGGCCCCACCUCUCUUUAGCUCCUUAAGAUUUGGAAAGACUCGAGCUUUGGUCAAAUAGGUUCUGCAAUCUGCAUAAUCAAAGAAUACAAAGAAUGCAGUACUAAAUAAUUGAACAGAUUUUCAACAAAUACAAAGAAUUUGUGUCCCCUACUCGUCCUAUGAAUUCAACAGGAUGAUUGAGAUCAUUAAAAAUAUAGAAGAAAUGAGAUACCUUAGAUUGGAUGUGGCUUUCCUUCUUCUUUCCUUGCAAGAUUGGAUCUUGGGUUUUGGCUUUUUGUUGAACUGCAGCAAAAGGAAUGGAUAAUGCCCCUUAAUCCAAAAAUAUUUCAGUAAAUCAACACACAAUCGGAUAGAAUAAAAAGGAACAAAAUAUUACUGUUAAUACUUCAUAGUAGUCCCUACAUCCGAUUCAAUGAAACUUGUAUGGAAGUUUUAGUUGUUCCCAUCCGUAUAUAUAUGCCUAUUAGCUGCAGUUUGACAUGAAGUUCUGAAGACAUGAAAAGGAAAACAGAUUAUUAUUCUCAAGAAAAAAAUACAGAAAGAAAUGGCCAUAGCUGGUUAAAAACUUACCCAGAAAACAAGGCGACCUGCAUGUUCGAUGUGCAUCCUUGAUCCUUCCAAGUUUCAUUACUCCCUAACAGUUCGUACAGUAGUAUUUUUUAUGGAUUUUCAUUGUACUUUUUCCAAUUUUCGAACUCGCCAAGUAACCUAUUAGCAACGACCAUGAUGCAUCAGUCGGUAUUAGGUUCUCUCUGCCUGGUUGACAUGCUCUCGAACUAGAGAGAAGUCUGAAUCCAGGUGCUCAAGCUUUGUUUCGCACACUUAAUCAAGGCCCCUGAAAGGAGGAAACCUUUUGGUAGAAGACAUUUCUACUUGCUAUGUGAUCAUAUGGUGUAUAUCCUACUUCAAGUUGCAGUAAAUUUCAUGUUAGCUAUAAUUUCAAUGAUAAUCAUAUGCUGUAUAUCCUACUUAAAUCAACUAAAAUUUCAAUGAUACUUUUAGUUUCAUAUUAUCAGUUGCAAGUUACGUUCUUGGCACCUUUACCUUUCACACACUCAACUUUAGAACUCAAAGGAGUAAGUUUCCAGUUCUAUUGCCUAAUACCUUGUCAAAGUAAGUAACCAAAAAUUAGAUCAACACUUGUAACGUUGGUCUGAUGGUGCUAAUGACUUGACAUUUAAACAAACCUUUACCUUCAAUUCCAAAAGCAAAGUAGUUAUUUUUAAUUAAGGUGAGUUUCUCCCGACUGGGUUUGGCAUGGAAAACAGAAGCAGGCAUUGGCUACUUGCAAGUCACUUCAUAUAAAAACAAUUAAAAGUAUAUAUAAUUAUCAGAGUGUAACGGUUCUAACUUACAGAUACAGCAGAACUACGAUUCUUCUAUAUCCAAAAUCGCACUUGGAGCAUACCCAGUACGCCUCAGAUGAUCUGUUAACUGAUCAAGCAUGGAGUAUAUACUGCUUGAAGUUUCAUGUCUCUUGUCAUCAACCAUAAAUUCGUAAACACGGCCAUCAAUUUCGAUCGAGCUCACUGCUCUACUCUUUAUGGAUCCACCGUCUUUUAUUAGUUUCCUGAUGUUCUUAACAUCCUCCCAUCUGUGCGCUUCACCAAAUAUGUUUGCUAGAAGUACAUAAAGUCCAGAACCAUGCAGUUCCAACUCCAACAGCUGCUUUAGAAUCAGCUUUCCCAAAUCCACAUUUCCAUGGAUCCGACAAGCACCAAGUAAAGCACCCCAAAUGACAACAUCAGGCUUCAUUGGCAUUCCUCUUACCAGCCUCAUUGCUUCUUCUAAAAGUCCCGCUCGCCCCAGCAGAUCUACCAUGCAAGCAUAGUGCUCAAUUUCAGGUGAUAUUCUGUAAGUAGACUUCAUUUUUUCAAAGUAAUGUCUCCCUAAGUCUAGAAGACCACUGUGACUGCAAGCAGAAAGAAGUCCGAUGAAGGUGAUCUCAUCCGGCCAGAUUCUACCUGCUUGCAUCUGUUCGAAUAUCCCGAUUGAUUCUGAUCCGCGACCGUGCAAUGCAAGGGCCCCGAUAAUGAUGUUCCAUGAUACUACAUUCUUUUCUGGUAUCAGAAUAAAGAUGUCCAUGGCAAUUUCAACAGCACCACAUUUUGCAUACAUGUCCAUAAGGGAAUUAAAAAGGGUUACACUGGGUGCAAUAUUGCUGUUGCAAAUGUAAUUAUGGGUUUUCCUUCCAAUGACCAAAUCGCCAAUUUGACUGCAGGAUGAAAGGACAGAAACCAAGGUAGCCUCAUCAGGCACCACACUCGAAUUAAGCAUUUUCUGGAAUAGAUCCAAAGCCACCCUGCACUGGCCUUCCCGUACAUAAUAUGAGAUCAUUGAAUUCCAAGAAACCACAUUUUUAUGUGGCAUCUGGUUGAAAAACUCCUGGGCAAAUUCAAUGAGCCCAUGUUUAGUGUAUGCUCUAACCAUUGACGUCCAGGAAACCACAUUUUUGUGAGUCAUUUGAUCAAAAAUCUUUCGUGCCAAGUGCAAAUGCCCACACUUGGCAUACAUAUCCAGAAGAGCAUUUCUCACAAUUUGGUCAAUUUCAAUCCCACUAACCUCAAUAAAAAGAUGCACAUAUCUUCCCAACUCCAAAUCACAAGCUUGUGAACAAACAGAGAGUAAAUUAACCAAAGUAAACUUAUCAGGCUCAACCCCCAGAUCUCUCAUCUCCCUAAACAACAACAGAGCCUCCUUGCACGAACCCAUUCUAGCAUAGCCACCGAUCAUUGAAUUCCAUGAAACCAGACUCCUCUCAGACAUAUCAUCAAACACAUUCUGAGCACACCGGAUCAACCCCCGAACACUAUAGACAGUAAUAAGGGCAUUUUGCACGCAAACUUGAGACUCAAUUCCUAGUUUAAUAGCCUGGCCAUGAACAGCCACGGCUUCCCAAUAUGCGGACUGUCCCACGCAAACCUUGAGCACAAAGGGCAACGUGAACUCGUUUGGUGAAAGACCUGAACCAACCAUUUGGCAGUAGAGUGAAAAGGCCUUAAAUGGGUCAUUACUAUUUGAGUAACCCCUUAUAAGACUAUUGUACAUAAACUUAUUUGGCUCAGGAAUUUGGUCGAACACAAGCUGGGCGUAGCGGAGAUUUCUGGGAUCGGAGACGGAGCAGAAGGAUAUGAGUUUUCCGAGGGUGAGGUUUUCGCUUGUGAGGCUGUGGAGGAUGAUUAGGGCGUGGAGCUGUUUGAGUUCUCUCAUGGAGGAGCAUUGCUCAAGGAGGAGAUGCAGGGUUUGGUGAGUGGAGUUUUUGAAUUCGUGGGCGAAAUUGGUGGGCUUUGGAGGGAGAGUGGGGUGUAGAGAGUGAAAGAAGCGGGAAGCAACGGUCGGAUUUUUGGGAGUAAAGAACAUGGCCGUUGGAAUUUUGGUUUGGAGGCAAAUGUAACGGUAUUAUGAAUUAUAAAGAUACCUUGUUUUUUGUUUGGGAAAUGUUAUUAGCACUCCAAAAAUCACAUUCUACACUCCUCAUAAGUGUAUUUUUCUUUCUAAUUAUAGAAAGUUUGGAGUUCAAAAUGAAAUUUUUGGAAUGCCAACAACAAUUCCCUUUUAUUUGGGUUGAAAAAUAUCAUAUUGCAAAAACAACUAGCGUUUAAUUUGUAUGGAAGAUCUCCAAACGAAUCAUUGUGCAAGCUUAAUUUGAACCCCUCUUCACUAAAAUGGACAUCGCCUAAAAAACAAAGCCAUAUUAUUAAUUUUUAUUUGAAUGUAUGAUUUAGAUUGACAGUCUAAUAAGAGAAAGUACAACCCACAAUGGUGCCAUUCAUAAUGUUAGUGUUAUAUGUUCUAAACCAAAUGACCCAUAUGUAAAGUUGUUGAAUUAUCGGAUAGACGGCCCAAAGAUCCACUUCCAACAACAUUGAUAUUGUCAUCAACUUGGUAAUUACCACAUACACAAUCUGUCAAGUGUGGGGUUUUAUCAUAAAAGACCUCGGUAUUAGUUGGAGUGGAGUUAAGAUAUUUAAACUCUUCUUUUUACAGAGAUACAGUCGAUGUGGGAUAUUUCAACGCCCCCUCACGUGAGACUCAAUUAGUGGGUCACACGUAAGAGAUUCACACAUCGGCGACCACAUAGAGCCAAGACAACUCACCCUACACGCGGGGCCAAGGGACUCACCAUCAUGGAGUAUAUUUUAACAUGCCCCCUCACGUGGGAUCAAUUAGUGGGUCACACGUAACGUGGAGCCAAGGGAACUCACCCUACACGCGAGGCCAAGGGACCCACCAUCAUCGUCCCUGGCUCUGAUACCAUGUAAAAUUAUCAGAGAGACGGGUCAAAUGCCCACUUCCAACAACAUCGAUAUUGUUCUCAACUUGUUAAAUAUCACUUGCACAGUCCAACAUGUGUAGGAAUUUAUACAAAAAAAGCUUCAAUAUUAGUUGGAGUAGAGUUAAGAGUAUUAAAAUUUUUAUUUUAACAAAAAUACGGUCGAUGUGAGAUAUUUCAACAAAAACUUCUUGCAAAUAUGGUUACAGGUGUCACUUGCAUUUACAAGUGAUUAGAAAAACAACUUAUUCCUUCUUCAUAAAAUACAACUCAAAAUAACUUUGUAAUAUACAUUUCUCAAAGCUUCAUCUCAGACGACCCUAUUUGUAUCUCCUAAAAGUUUCUGCAUAUGACACCAUUGUUUCAAUUUCGGCGGAGCUCAUUUUCUGUAUAUGACACAACAGCCGGCAAGACUUUUACAAAGAAGGAAGAAGCCAAAGAUUGAAUAGAGAGGAACCUAGUGAAAGAAACCAAGAAAGGAAAGCCAUUGCAGCAGAUAACUGAUAUCUAGUACAUAACUUGGCAGGGCAGUAGGAUCUACCGAGAUGAAGUAGGAGAUAUGUGGUACUAGCCGUUGAGCAAGCUGCAGCGAGUGAGAGAUAUGACAACGCCUGUGAUGAAACGAACAUAAUAUAUUCUUAAGUUGGGAAAACGAAGAAUUUGUUCUUAAUGAGAUAAAUAAGUUUAUAGACAAAAACACAUACCAAGUCUCCUAAAAUAAUUAUUGUAGUUAUUCUUGGUCGACGAGGCAAAUAUCUAAAGAAGACAGAGUAGACAUCCACGAUCAUCAACGUCAUGCUCCAUGGAACUACCAAACCCAUUACUGUCACCAAAUAGCUGCAACGCAAGCAAUGGUAAGAGUUACUACUAUAUAUUAAUAAAAAAGUUCUCGUUGAGCACUUUCAUCUCCUUCAUUUUGCAAACGUGAAAUAACCGAGACAACAUAAAUCUGGUAAUGGCUAUAAUGGACAAUUCAAAUAGCACCAUAGAAUCAUUUCAGUUUACAGAUUAGAACAUGAAGAAACAAACGUUGCAGGAAAAGUGACUUGAAUUUGUUAGGUUUUAGAAGUUGAAAAGUUCUUAACUGUUAAAAUUUCUAGCUCUUCGCCACAAGACUUUUAGAGAUGGUAAUAUUUUACAGGUUCGAGAAGACACCAAUAAGGACAAGUUCAGGGUGAGGUUAUUGAUUGGAAGUACAUUUGGAGCAAUGGAAGCAACACAUACAGUUGAACACAGUAGACUUCUUUGGACAUGUCAUUAGAGCAUAAAUUCUUAAAGACUAAGUCAAUGACCAACAAAAACAGACGUGCAAAAUUAGCUUUGUGAGAAAAAGAAAAAAAGUCAACUAAGAGCAGAUGAUACCACAAUGUUCUACAAUGAGAGUUUACAGAGUCUUUUCAUUUCCAUGAGAGUUUACGCUUAAAAUGUUUGAAGGCUGAAAGAUUUUGCUUCCAAUUCUCUGUUGAGUUUUUGGUUUCGAAUCUAGAUUCACAUCUUACGGGCCAUAAAACCAGUUAAGUCUAUCAAGAAGCGGUUUUGAUGCUCUACAAUGUUCUGAUGACUUCAAAGCUGCUAAAAUUCGAUAGUGAAUUACAGAGUCCUAAACAGUUCAUUCUCUACAAAAAAUUCCAACAUAUUUACUUGCUCAAUUAGGAGAAACUUAGAAACAGUUGCAUAUACUGAAAAUUCUUCAUCAGUAAGCCCAACUAUAUAUUAUUAUAAUCUUUUGCAUGUAUAGAAUAUGUUAAAUUUUAACCAGUUCAAUCUCCAUAUGAUCUUUACAGAAACACAGUUUCCAGUUCUUAACAAAGCCAAAAGUCAAUAUCCAGCCCAAGAAAUCAAAACAGAAUUGCCAUCAAAUUCAGAAACAGAGACAUGGGUAUUGAACAACAAGUCAAAAUCACAAAAGGGUCCGAUGAAAUUCAACUAAGAAACUCCAAAUUCGAAGAAUUCGAAAGUACCAGAAGGCGGUGUAGCUGUAGAACUCGACGUCCAAGCACAUGAAGAGAAGGGAGGCAGUGGAGAAGAUGGUCUGCCCGAAUCGCAGAGCCAAGCUGGCGCUGGUUCCCAACGACCCCGGCAGUUCAUCCAUGCUUGCAAUUGCAUGCAGCAGCAACAACAACAAGAACUCCUCAUGGUAAACGAAAUUCAAGAACAAUUCUUCUCAGCCACAUGACCAAAUAGUUGUGGCAAAAAUGGAGUUCCAAAUAAUUUUGGGGAAAUAUGGGAACUGGGUUUUGAAGGGGGAGAGGAGGACUUGCUUUGGUGGGAAGAAUGGUAAUGGGAAUGUGAAUCGUUGUGGUGAAUUGUCAAGGAAAAGGAGUGUUGGGGAGAAAAGAAAACAAAAGUGAGAGAGACGUAAAGGGUACGCAGAUUUUGGUGGGUUUUUUGGCUUUGGCUUUGGCAUCUCCUCCAUCAUUUGGGCAUAAAUGGUAUAAUGUUCUUAUCGGGUAGGCAGGGAGUGCGGCAUCUUCUCCUUCAUUUCAUCCCGCUUAAUUUAUUAUUAUUAUUAUUAUUAUUAUUAAUUUUAUUAUAAGCGAUAUUAUUACUCCGUUUAUAUUUGUAUUUACAUAGGGUUUAAUUCUAAAUAAGUUUUAAAAAAUAUAAUCAUAGAGAGUGACUAUAUGACACAUAUAUACAAUCACAAUGAUGUUUGUGCACCAAUGAAAUAAAAACAUAUAUAAAUUUUAUUCAUAUAUUCUUAUUUCAUUGGCAUGUGGUGAUGUACCCGUAAUUUCUCAACCAUUAGGGCAAAACCCAAAAAUUAUUAGGUGGAUAAAAAUAGUGUUUUUUCUCUUUUUCUUUUUCCUCAAUAAGGUUCUUUGAAUCAAAGCGUAUAAAGUAAGGGAAUUGGCUUUAAAUUUGCUAUUAUAUGUCUUUGUUUUAUUUUGCAUGAUUAAUUGCCGAGUGUAUUUUAAUACAGGUUGGAUACAAAAGAACCAAAAAGUAGUACAAAGCUCAAAUGAAACUUAACAAACUUCAUUUCUCACUUAACAUGUAUUUGAUCUUCAUGAACACAACCCAGUUGGUUUACGACUUUACUAUCACUUACAAGUGAAAAAAGACGAUAAGUCAAAUAUAAUUAGAUUUCAAACUUAACAGUGAUAUUAUACAUCUUUAUCAUUCAUGUAAGUCAAAAUUUAGACCUCUACUUAUGAGCGACAAAAAAAAUAUUACUAAACCAUUUUUUUUAGGAAUUUUAACGAAAAACUCACGGUACUAUUCACUUUAACCAAAAAUCAUAUUUUUACACUAAAAAGUCAAUCAUGGUACUAUUCACUUUACCUCUUAUUUUGUCUUUAUCAUUAAAAAUCAAAGUUUUUAAACCCUUUUCAUUAGUUUUGCUUUUUUUUUUUAGUUUUUCUUCUUUAUUAUUUUUAAAGUCUAUAUGAAUGUAGCUUUGUCAACAUGUUAUCUUUUACCCAAAUCACAUCAUUUUACUAGUAAUAUUAUAAAAAUUGAGACAAUGUCUAUUGAAGAACUAAUAUUUAAUUAAAUGUUUGAUGCUUUUCAUUUAAACUAAUAUACAAUAAUUUCCCAAAUAUCAUGGUUCAAUGGUCUCUUUCAUAGAGGGUUUAAAUAUUAUUUCAUAUAUGAAUAUAAUAUAAUUACUUUCAAGUUUUGCCAUACAAAACACAGAGAAUUAUAAUCACACAUUUAAAAAAUAAAUAAAUAAAGUUUGACAAUCUUGAAGAGAAUACUACCAAAUGCAUGUCACUCAGUCCAAAUGUCCAAUUUGUGUGGCUCACCAACCACAUAAAAGGAUAUGAGAAAGCAAUUAGCGUAAAAAGAUGAUGUCGAUGAUCAUAAUUUAUUAUAAUCAAUAUUGCUCGUUACUUUUUCACAGCAAAUCGUUGUCUGACGCAUUUAUAAAAGAAACAGUUUUUACGCAUGUCAAAUUUUGACGUAUAAUGAUUUACCGUUAAAGAAGUUUGACUCCUUAAAAGAUAAUGUACAAGAAAGAUAAUACAUACAAGAUAAUAGGCAUGAUAAUAUACAAGAAGAUAAUGAUCUGAGUGAUCUCAGUGCUUGUUGUUCAAUUGGGUUACAAAGAGAGUUGAGCAACACCUUUUUAACUUAUAGCAAAAUCUGAAACCCAGAAUCACCAUUAAUACAUAGAGGAAAACGAAACUAAUCAAGCUGAGCAUACCAAACUCCCUGGAUUUUGACAUCCUUUGGAGUCUUGGCUCCCAAGUCAGUGUCGGAUGGCUGAAGGCUCUCGAACACCCCAAUCAACUCACCAGUCUCAGGCUUGGUCUUUGUCACACUCAGUGUUAUCUUCCCCUUCGAUGCUGCUGUAUUCUUGGUGUUCUCCUUUGCCAGCUCCUCCUCGUCUCCUCUGCCUCCUGCCGGCAGUGCGACCGCAUUGUCAUAACCGGUGGAUCCUCCUCUUCCCUUGGGGUCCAAGAAAGAGGAUCCACGGUAUGAUGGUACUAGAAACUCUCCCGUGAAAUUUUCGGGCUUGCCAGAGGCUACCAGCUGCUUGAUGGUAAAGAGGAAGGGCACGCGCUCGCCUCCCGGGAGCUGGACUGUCACUGCAGCGUAGUCAAUUCCGUCUUUCUCUUCGAACUUGAUGGAGCCAUCUGGAGCAACUUCGAAAGGUCCUUCGAUCUCAUCGAGGGUGUAGGUUAGGCGGGUCAUGAGCUUGGUGUUUUGGAACUCUGGUGGAGCGUUCUUGUUCACACUCUCAGCCUUAACAGUGAAGGAUGUUGGCUCUAGGCAGAACUUCUUGGCACUGUACUUGCCGGGUUUGAAGGCAAAUGCUUCGGAUCCUCCGUCGAUGGUUGGGCAUUGGUUAGCAGUUCCUGUUCCCUUCACUUCCAAGUAGGUCUUGCUCUGGAUUUCGUCGAAGGUCAACCUCUUUGGAGCUCCCUCUGCACCUGCUCCCUGAAACACAAAGUGUUGGCCAAGAAUGACCAAAUGUCAAUCUUACUUAAUAAUAAAAAGGAAUCCGAUGAUCACGUUACCUAAGUUGUUGUCAAACUGUCAGUCUAAAUUGAAAUAGUGAGAUUUAUAUCCAUACUUUAUAAAAUCAAGUGAUGCUGCGUUAUGUUUGAUAGGUUUUCAAUCUCAACUAUUAGAUGAGCAUACGUACAUAUGACAUGCGAUUUAGCUUGUGAUCCAAACAACAUAACAUGUCAUAUAUCUAAAACGAACAUUACUCUCGUCUGGUGAGACGAUCCAAUUCUAACAAAUUAAUGGAGAACAUGUCGAUAUUGCUACACAAUUGCGUAUUCAACUAGUCCAAACUUACCGCCUAACUAUAGUUCAUAUUAACGAGUAAGUACUAGUAAACAUGAAUUCACAAAAGUUCAAAUGCAAACAACUUAGUCAUUGUUCUACUUCUACACCACAAUUUCAAUCACAUGAAGCAAGAAACUAAGGAGUGAAAUGGAAUUAGCAUGUCAUACCGAAACGACGAGAGCGGAAGUAGCAAGAGCAAAUCCAGCAAUCUUGGAUGCAUCAAGGCACUUGUGAGCCAAGUCCUUGAGAUCAGAUUGCAAAGAGCAAGUGAGCCUAGCAGAAGCAGAUGGCUCCAAGCCAAAGGCCUUGGAGACACUCUGAGAGGACCUCAGUUGCACACUGGUCCUCGCCGACACGCCGACCUUGGUCGGCUGCAUGAGCGUAGCAGCUGCUUGGAGGGAGGCUGCCAUGGUUGUGUUCACUAUUUUUUUGUGAUCUCUCACACAAUAAUU